AUGUUAUUAAACCUUCUCACUCACUCACUCACUCACUCACUCACUCACUCACUCACUCACUCACUCACUCACUCACUCACUCACUCACUCACUCACUCACACACACACACACACACACACACACACACACACACACACACACACACACACACACACACACACACACACACACACACACACACGCACACACACACUAUCUGUCUAUACUCAAGCCUUUGCCCUUUUCCCUUACACUGGCUCACAAACAGGCACAUCCGUCUGUAUUUGUUUCUCCGUCCGCCCACCCAGUCUGAACGAACCUACCACUUCUGCGCACUUCCUCCAGUCCUCUCAAAUAGCCCAUCUGGGCAUGUGCAAACAAGCAAUCCAAUAGCCCACAAUACAUAUGUAUGGAAAUUCCAUAUUCAACAGACUGGAUUUUACUGCCAGUUAUCUGUGGGCGUGGGCCCAUCUAGAGAGGAAGAGAUGGAGAGAGAGUGGGAGAGAUGGAGAGAAAGAGGGAAAGAUGGAGAGGGCGGAGAGAUGGAGAGAAAGAGGGAGAGAUGGAGAGAGAGAGGGAGAGAACAGAGAGAUGGUGAGGAGAAAGAGAUGGAGAGAGAUGGAGAGAAGAGAGAGAUGGAGAGGAGAAAGAGAUGGAGAGGAGAGAGAGAUGGAGAGGAGAAAGAGAUGGAGAGAGAUGGAGAGAAGAGAGAGAUGGAGAGAGAGAGAGGGAAAGAUGGAGAGGGCGGAGAGAUGGAGAGAGAGAGGGAGAGAUGGAGAGAGAGAGAGAGGGAGAGAAGAGAGAUGGUGAGGAGAAAGAGAUGGAGAGAGAUGGAUAGAAGAGAGAGAUGGAGAGGAGAAAGAGAUGGAGAGGAGAGAGAGAUGGAGAGGAGAAAGAGAUGGAGAGAGAGAUGGAAAGGAAAAAGAGAUGGAGAGGAGAGAGAUGGAAAGGAGAGAGAGAUUGAGAGGAGAAAGAGAUGGAGAGGAGAGAGAUAUGGAGAGAGAGAUGGAAAGGAGAGAGAGAUGGAGAGGAGAGAGAGAUGGAGAGAGAGAUGGAGAGGAGAGAGAGAGAGAGAGGGAGAGAAGAGAGAGAUGGAGAAGAGAAAGAGAUGGAGAGAAGAGAGAGAUGGAGAGGAGAAAGAGAUGGAGAGGAGAGAGAGAUGGAGAGGAGAGAGAGAUGGAGAGGAGAAAGAGAUGGAGAGAGUGAAAGAGGGGAAUGAUGUAGAUGGUGCAGUAAUUUAUGUUCAUGAUGGUGUUCUUUACCAGACCAGCCUUCUGCACUAUAAUACACAGAGCCGGCGUUUCACAGACCCAAACCCAAUUUACCUAUUUUUACAAUCCCACAUCUUUUCCUCUGUUUCAUUCCCCCUCUUCCUCUCCCCUCUGUGUCUUCCCCCUAUCCUCCCGACUCUUGCGCUCUCCCUUUCCCUCUCUCCAUCCGUCGCCCCCUCUCUUCUGUCUCAUUCACCAUAUCCCGAUCUCUCUUCCCUCUCUCCCCCCUCUCCAUCUCUUGCUCUCUCCUUCCUGGGUGAUGGCUCAUAG
rnacentral:lncRNA from 1 species